rnacentral:lncRNA from 1 species
UUGAUUAAAAAAACCCAAUAAUUACAGAAAUACCCUUCACUCUCUCCGCCGAUUUUCUCUCUUCUCGCCAAACUCCGGUGAGACAACCAAAUCCACUGGCUUCCUCUAUUCCCCAGCCGAGACCACCAACGAAUCCCCAUCAUCUUUACCCUGAACGGAAAACCCUAGCCGCCGUCCUCGCUCCUCCUUUCCCUUAUCUCCUCGUCUACCUCCAAACAGAACCACCGUGAAACCACCAAAGACAACGAAACGCGGCCUUCUUUCUUGCUUUUCUCCGUUGACAGCCACCAUUGAAACCCCCAACAUAUGAUUUCGUUUCUUCGUCUUCACUAUAUCGUCAACGAACAAGACCCCUCCACUAUUGCGUCGUCCUCAACAACGAACCAGGCAAACCAGCCGUAGGGAACUCCGAUACAGUUCAGCUAAAGGCAAAACAGAAGAUGUUGAAGCUUUCAAAAGAGACCUCCAGAAUAAGCUAACUCAGAUAGUUUCUCAGAUCACUAAAGAAGAAGAGGAAUACCGAGUUGAACAGAAUAUUCAUCGGCAGGUUGAAGAAGAAUUGAUUAUUUUGGAAAGUAAAGCAUCACCGGUAGAGGGAAUCACAAAAGAAAAUAUGGAAACAAGAGUUAGCCAGAUAUCCUUGAAUUUGUGUUUUUUGCUCUUCUGCUACUUAGGAAAUUUGUUGCUAUCUGAACCAAAAUUCCUGCCAUAGUAGAGAAUGCUAAGCAUUUCCAGAAGGUAAAAAGAACUUCUAUCCAAGUACCUUUACACACGAAGUUGCAAAAUCCUAAACUGCUUCAGCUUGUAUAUUCAUAGGGAUAUUCAUGUCUGGGGCUUAUCUAAUUGUUUGACAAUGGACAUGAACCUCCUAUUGUGGAGGUUGAGAAUUAGAGUGGAGGGUCAAUAGGUAGUUGGGCGUAUUGCUUUUCUUUUCUCUCUGUUGUUCCUUUAGCCUCUGCUAUCUUAUUAUCUUCUUGUUGUUUCUGCUUGUUGCUACUUUCUCUUUUUUAUCAUUUUUAGUAUCGAUGGUCUAUUGGAAAUAACUUCUCUACCUUCCCAAGGUAGGAUUAUAGUCUGUGUGCACUCUACCUUCCCAACGCAGGUGUAGAGCUAACUUUUAUAGUUCAUUUGCAUCCUUUGGCACUCUUCCUCUGUCCAUUCUGUUUUUUUUUUUAUUAAGACAACUAGCAAUUGAUCUUGAAGCAUCCCAACAAUAUUAACUCUUUUGCUAUCAACAAUAUCAGUACAACAAUAUUAACUCUUUUGGUCGUUUUGGGGUGUUGUAUGUCUAUUUUUUUUUCCUUUCUUGUGUUCUUUGGCUCUUUUUUGUUUAGUUUAUUCUCUUGGGUCUACUCUGUUAUUUUGCACCUUCACAUAAUCUUGUUUUGUCUACUUAUGUUUUGUGAAUAAUUCCGUGUAGGUGUACUAUGUUGCUCAUAACAAAAAUUCUUGUGUUUAUCUCGAUGAUAUAUUAACAAAUAAUAAUUAGUAAUUAAUUUACUUUUUAAGUGAGCUAUCAAUUUUGAUUUGCAAGUUACAAUCACUUUAAUAGAAUAAAAAAAAUUCGAUCAUUACUUAUUCUAUCUAUUUUGUCAAUAUAUGUUAUUUCUUAAUUUCUAUUACUCUUCAAAUCUCAGAUCAUAUCAGUAAAUACAAAUGUGUUUGAGCACUCAAAAAAGUACUAUUCAAUUGUAUUUUGUUUAAUAUAAUUUGACAAAAUGAGAUUUGAAAAGUAAUUACUCAAAAUAAUAUCGUUUUUGUUAUGAAAAAUUGUAUAGGUUUAGAAAAACUUUGAUGAAAUAUGCUUUCUUCUAUCUCCUUUUAUGAAUCUUCCUUUCAGGGUUAAAAGAUUUUUUCAAGUUCCUUACUUUAACUUCUUUAAGCAAAUAAUAUGUUGCCUUUUCAAAACUCUUCAAGAGUUUCAAUUAUAGUUAUCAACUUGCAUAACAAUACUUGUAUAUGCUCUAUGCAUUUUGAAUCCAUUUAAUCCUUAUGAGGAUGAUAAACAAGUUUUUCAAAACCUUGUAUAUGCUAGAUUUCGAACCCAUUGGAUAUUUUCAUAUUAGUUUUGUCAAGUGACAACAUUCAAUAUUAGAUGUAUGACAUCUUCUAAUGCCUAAAUUGCAAGUCAAUUAAGCUUUAUGCUUAUCAAGAUGCACCAUUCCACUUUUCACUUGAUAAUUAUUUCUGCACCAACAUGCUUUAAUAGUCAUAGAAUUUAUAUCAUAAUAAAUUUUUUCAAUAUUGCGUGCUAUUGUAUCAAAGAUACCGUCAACGAUAUAUCAUUUUGCAUUGAUUCACAAUACGACAUAACUUCUCAGGAGGUUUCAUAAAGUGUUAUGUCGUAGGCUCUCCAAGAGCACAUUAUCUUCUUAUUAUGAUCAUUUUAAUUCUUUCAUCCUCUUCCUUUUUCAAAGAUUAUUUUAUUUAGAAUUGAUUAGUCUAUCAUGCUUCAUGCAUGUCGUAGACUCUAUUUUAAGGGACAUUCAAUAGGAGUAUUUACAACUUUUGUGUUGCUACUAAUCUCCCCCUUAUGUUAGACAAACUAACAUAUAUCUCAAUUUUUGCAGAAUCUAUCCUUGUGCAUCAAUGUAUAUUCAUUGAUUAUAUACCACAUAUUAACAUAAUCAGAUAAAAAUUAUUUGGUCCUCGACCAUAAAUCAAUUGAAAGAAAAUUUGAUCAUAAUUUAUCGGUCUGAUGCGUACAAUUACUUUUGUAUGCAAUAUCGUAUUUCAUAUCGACAUAUGAAGCUUUAUUUUCGUAAACAGUAAUUUUACUAUUUGAGACAUUUAGUGUCACAUCAUCUUGAGUAUUUAUCAAUAUUAUCAAGAUAAAUUGUCUUGAUUACAUAUUCUGAAAUUGUGCUCUUAACUCAAUUAUUUUUGCACAAAUAAUUUUGUGAAUGUCAAACUACAUGUUGACAACAAAUGCACAUGUGAUUAUCUUAUAAAUAUAUCUUUUUAUCAUGUCACAUGAUAGGUGAACGGGCUCAUAUUCACCUUUUAUACUUUUCAGAAUUUAGAGAUUUAAUCUCAACAUUAGUUGAUCCAAUCAAUUUGUCAUGAGAACAAACAACAAAAGAAUUCUUGAAGAAUCUUCUAGUUUUUUAAUGUAUGUCCAUUACUCAGUAUGCACAUCUUUGGGAUGACCAAAUUAUUCAUGCCAACUAAUAAAAUUAUUAGUACUUGUAAACUCCAAGUUUACUAGGCCAUGUGCCUUUUGCUUUAUUAAAUUUCUGAUUUACUAUUAUAUGACUAAAUUUCAAUUUUAUUACUCCUAAAGUAAUUAUCAGAUUUAUUUCUUCUCAAUUACGUUAUCCUUUAGGUGAGUCGUGAUCCCAUCAUUGAAUGAACUAAUCUGAAGAAAAUUGUGCAUGUCACAUAUUAUUUGUGCCAACAUUUUUGCAAACAUCAAGUUGCGAGAUAAUAAUAGACAUACAUGAGACCAUACAAAAGAAACAUUUGUUAGGACCGUUAAAUAUCUAAACGAUUCACUUGGUGGAUGACUAGGUCCACAAAUAUCUGUAUACGUUCCUAUAACGCAAAAAAUUCAAGCUCAACUUUCGUUUAUGGUGGUCUCACAAUUAGCUUGCCUUGCUAACAAGUAGUAUAAGAAAUUUCACCAUUUAAAAGAAUUUUUAGUUUCUUCCAUUAAAGUCCAUUUUAAUUUUCCAUAAUUCGUCUAAACAUUAUAGACUAACGAUGUCCCAGACAAUCGUGUCAAACUAAGAAAGUAUUGGAAUUAGUAAACUUCUUAUUUAUCAUAGAACUAGUGAAUUUGACCGCGCUACGCGCGGGUUUAAUAUUCUGGUAAAAUUUUACUUUAUUUAGCAAAAUUACCCAAUUCCGGGUCGCGACUGGCACCCACAUUUACCCUCCUAUGUUAGCGAACCAACCAAAUCUAAACCUUAUCAUUUCAACAUAUAUCAACAGAAAGUAAUGCGGAAGACUUAAACUCAUAAGUAAAAUCAAUAAUCAACUUCUAUAACUCAAAACUUAUCAUUCCCCAAAAUCUGGAAGUCAUCAUCACAAGAACAUCUACUUCAAAUUACUAAAUCUAAGAGUAUUCUAAAAGCUAAAAAUACAUAAGAAGCUAGUCCAUGCCGGAAGUUCAAGGCAUCAAGACUUGAAGAAGAGAUCCAGUCCAAGCUAGAAGCGUUAGCUCACCCUGAAGAUCCGGUGUGACGAAGACUGGCUAGAAUUACUGUUGAGUUGAAGACGACGGCACGUUUGCUGCACUCCACAAAUAAACAAGAAGAAAACAUAAAAGUAGGGGUCAGUACAAAGCACGGGUACUGAGUAGAUAUCAUCGGCCAACUCAAAAUAGAAAACAGUAUAUACC